AUUGAACGCUGGCGGCAUGCCUUACACAUGCAAGUCGAACGGCAGCGCGGGAGCAAUCCUGGCGGCGAGUGGCGAACGGGUGAGUAAUACAUCGGAACGUGCCCAAUCGUGGGGGAUAACGCAGCGAAAGCUGUGCUAAUACCGCAUACGAUCUACGGAUGAAAGCAGGGGAUCGCAAGACCUUGCGCGAAUGGAGCGGCCGAUGGCAGAUUAGGUAGUUGGUGAGGUAAAGGCUCACCAAGCCUUCGAUCUGUAGCUGGUCUGAGAGGACGACCAGCCACACUGGGACUGAGACACGGCCCAGACUCCUACGGGAGGCAGCAGUGGGGAAUUUUGGACAAUGGGCGAAAGCCUGAUCCAGCCAUGCCGCGUGCAGGAUGAAGGCCUUCGGGUUGUAAACUGCUUUUGUACGGAACGAAACGGUCUUUUCUAAUAAAGAAGGCUAAUGACGGUACCGUAAGAAUAAGCACCGGCUAACUACG
rnacentral:rRNA from 1 species